rnacentral:snoRNA from 1 species
AAGGCCCUGAAUCAAGGCCAGCAGUUUGCUGAAGCUGUUGGUUUCAAGCAGGAGCCUAAAGAAAUGUCUUUUUAUGGUCUGUUGGCCAUUUCAGAACUUUGGAAAUGGUCAAUUCAUUAGAAAGAAACAUUC